rnacentral:rRNA from 1 species
UGGGGAAUAUUGGACAAUGGGCGCAAGCCUGAUCCAGCCAUGCCGCGUGAGUGAUGAAGGCCUUAGGGUUGUAAAGCUCUUUCACCGAUGAAGAUAAUGACGGUAGUCGGAGAAGAAGCCCCGGCUAACUUCGUGCCAGCAGCCGCGGUAAUACGAAGGGGGCUAGCGUUGUUCGGAAUUACUGGGCGUAAAGCGCAUGUAGGCGGAUAUUUAAGUCAGGGGUGAAAUCCCAGAGCUCAACUCUGGAACUGCCGUUGAUACUGGGUAUCUUGAGUAUGGAAGAGGUAAGUGGAAUUCCGAGUGCAGAGGUGAAAUUCGUAGAUAUUCGGAGGAACACCAGUGGCGAAGGCGGCUUACUGGUCCAUUACUGACGCUGAGGUGCGAAAGCGUGGGGAGCAAACA